UCCAUCCCCAUCUGGCUGAUUUGGUGAAGCAAACAUCCAUGUUCACAAAACUCUUCUCUUUUUUUUACUGUUCUUACCUUUUUAUUGAAAUAUAGUUGAUUUAUGUGUUAGUUUCAGGUGUACAGUAAAGUGAUUCUGUGUGUGUGUGUGUGUGUGUGUGUGUGUAUUCUUUUUUAUAUGCUCUUCCAUUAUAGGUUAUUAUAAGAUACUGAAUAUAGUUCCCACCAAGCUGGUCUCUUAAGAAACUGAAGGUGGUGUCUAGGAGCCAAGAACAACCUCUAGCCAACAGCCAACAAGAAGUUGAAGCCCUCAGUCCUGCAACCUCAAGGAACUGAAUUCUGUCAGCAUAGCAAUAGAGAACUAAUACAUCAUACAAAGAUGCAGGAGGAAGAGGAGAAGACAAAGCUCCCCCUUUCCAGCUGGAGGUGAGGCUAAACUGAUAUAGUUUGGAGAUGGUGUGAUGCUGAGGAACAUGAGAAUG
rnacentral:lncRNA from 1 species